rnacentral:rRNA from 1 species
CCUACGGGUGGCAGCAGUGAGGAAUAUUGGUCAAUGGACGAGAGCCUGAACCAGCCAAGUAGCGUGAAGGAUGACUGCCCUAUGGGUUGUAAACUUCUUUUAUAAAGGAAUAAAACGAGCCACGUGUGCCUUUUUGCAUGUACUUUAUGAAUAAGGAUCGGCUAACUCCGUGCCAGCAGCCGCGGUAAUACGGAGGACCCGAGCGUUAUCCGGAUUUAUUGGGUUUAAAGGGAGCGUAGGUGGGUUGUUAAGUCAGGUGUGAAAGUUUGCGGCUCAACCGUAAAAUUGCAAUUGAUACUGGAAGUCUUGAGUACAGAUGAGGUAGGCGGAAUUCGUGGUGUAGCGGUGAAAUGCUUAGAUAUCACGAAGAACCCCGAUUGCGAAGGCAGCUUACUAAACUGCGACUGACAUUGAGGCUCGAAAGUGUGGGUAUCAAACAGGAUUAGAUACCCGAGUAGUC